AAACAAGUUGGUUGUUCAAAAAGUUCAUCUAAUUUCAAAUGUAGCAAGUUUAUGAAAAGGAAAGAGAACUGGAAAAAGAAGAUGUGUGAUCACACAUUGUUAACAAUGUCAGCUAAGUACUGGGACCACAAUUUCAGACACAAGGAUGGAACCAGGUCUAUGAUUCAUAUGUGAAUCAUUUCAUAGUGCAGGAGUUCCUGAGAGAAUAUGAAGGCAGAAGCUGUAAUUCCC
rnacentral:lncRNA from 1 species